rnacentral:misc_RNA from 1 species
CUUUUUUUUUUUUUAAUUUUUUUUGAAAAAAAGCAUUUGGAUCAAGUUAAUCAUCUAGGGUCGGAGAUUGAUUUUCCUUGUAUUCCAUUAUUUAAGCACAGUGAGUACAGUAAUUGAAAAUGUCUUUUCACUGUUGCAUUAUUAUUAUUAUUAAAUAGUAUUGUCAGGGCGGUACAGUACUGAAACAUUUAAAGAAUUACGU